UGGAAUCAGAAAAUGAAAAUGUAAGCAGCUGCAAAAAUUACCUGCUUCAUAAAAUUUAUAUGAGAUGAAGAUGAAAAUCAUUAGAAGUCAAUCAACUCCUCAGCAGGUCCUGAAAAUGUCUCAGUGACACACACCUGCAGCUACCUUGUAUGGAUAUAGCACUAUGUCAGUGUGUACUGGGAAGGCCCAUCCCAGAUAAGACAGAACCUGAUGAAAUCACAUGCCAGUAGCUCCCAGUGCCUUCAGGACAAAAGGAAUCCUGUACUACAUACAGCUGGAUCAUGGAACCAUAGACUUCCCACCUCUUCUACGAGGAUCUACAAAUCACAUGACUUUGAGGGCUCAGAUACAACUGCUCACACUGGCGGGAACUGAUACUUGGAGCUCAGGUGAUUUCCCGCACACUAAGUUCUUCUCUGGGCCUGGCUCUGAGAAUCACACUCCUUCCAGAACACCGGGCUGCCAACACAGUCUGCCAGGAAUCCAUCAGGGAAUGCUUAUGAGGCCAUGAUCCCAGAACUGGCAGAA